AACGAACGCUGGCGGCAGGCUUAACACAUGCAAGUCGAGCGCCCCGCAAGGGGAGUGGCAGACGGGUGAGUAACGCGUGGGAAUCUACCCAUCCCUACGGAACAACUCCGGGAAACUGGAGCUAAUACCGUAUACGCCCUUAGGGGGAAAGAUUUAUCGGGGAUGGAUGAGCCCGCGUUGGAUUAGCUAGUUGGUGGGGUAAAGGCCUACCAAGGCGACGAUCCAUAGCUGGUCUGAGAGGAUGAUCAGCCACAUUGGGACUGAGACACGGCCCAAACUCCUACGGGAGGCAGCAGUGGGGAAUAUUGGACAAUGGGCGCAAGCUUGAUCCAGCCAUGCCGCGUGAGUGAUGAAGGCCUUAGGGUUGUAAAGCUCUUUCACCGAUGAAGAUAAUGACGGUAGUCGGAGAAGAAGCCCCGGCUAACUUCGUGCCAGCCGCCGCAGUAACAC
rnacentral:rRNA from 1 species